AUCUGGCCGGUAAAAGGCUAAGUUGGCUGCCCUGAAUACGUGCCUUCUUUCGUUUGGUUUCUUUGUCUAUGCCUAUUCCUUUUGUGUGUAGAGUGUUAAUGAGUGUAAAUACAAGUGCAUAAUUGCAAAUGUGUGAUGAUUUUUGUUUUCGUUUUACCUGCCGCGACGCGUCACUUUUCUGAUUUUGUUGAGCCGUGCCGGACGUAAUUUUGAAGGAAAGUGUUUCGCAGUGAGCUACAAAUAUAAAUAUGCUCUAUCUGAUGUUAUUAAAACCGAUGGGUGGACCAAAAAGAGCUAAUUACUAGGAACUGCUUGCGGGUUCAGAAAAAUCGGCUGGCGAAGCAAAAAUUUGACCACAAAAAAUAAAACAAUUAAUA